rnacentral:lncRNA from 1 species
UUAACAUGUAUGCUCCAGCUCAAAACCACACAGAGUUUCUAUGAAUUGCUGGGUAUAUCAAAGAGUGGGACCCUCUCUAAAAAUCCAAAAAGCUUUCAAGCAGUUGCCCAAAAAAAAUCACCGGUCUGUUAUCAUUUUGUUUGUAGACUAAGAGAAGAUGGCGAAACCCGAAGCAUUCUUGACGUCAACAGAGAUAAUAGGUGGAGGAACCAAAGGCGG